AGCGAACGCUGGCGGCGUGCCUAAUACAUGCAAGUCGAGCGAAUCUUUAGGAGCUUGCUCCUGAAGAUUAGCGGCGGACGGGUGAGUAACACGUGGGCAACCUGCCUGUAAGACUGGGAUAACUUCGGGAAACCGGAGCUAAUACCGGAUAAUCCUUUCCUUCACAUGAAGGAAAGCUGAAAGACGGUUUCGGCUGUCACUUACAGAUGGGCCCGAGGCGUAUUAGCUAGUUGGUGAGGUAACGGCUCACCAAGGCGACGAUGCGUAGCCGACCUGAGAGGGUGAUCGGCCACACUGGGACUGAGACACGGCCCAGACUCCUACGGGAGGCAGCAGUAGGGAAUCUUCCGCAAUGGACGAAAGUCUGACGGAGCAACGCCGCGUGAGCGAAGAAGGCCUUCGGGUCGUAAAGCUCUGUUGUCAGGGAAGAACAAGUACCGGAGUAACUGCCGGCACCUUGACGGUACCUGACCAGAAAGCCACGGCUAACUACGUGCCAGCAGCCGCAGUAACAC
rnacentral:rRNA from 1 species